GCAUAUAAUCAUACAACUCUAAGCUCGGAAGCUAAGCAAAAUCAGGGCCAGUUAGUACUUGGAUUGGAGACCACCUGGGAAUACUAGGGGCUGUAAGCC
rnacentral:rRNA from 1 species